GCUGGCCGGUGUGGCACAACCCUACCCCCACCUCCCCUUCUUGGCCUUCGCCAGUGUGGGAGCCUCGUCUCACUGGAGAGUCCCUUCAGGCUCUGCCACUGUUUCCCAUUGGCCAAACCCUACUGGAAGUGGAAGGCUAAGAAGUCCACUGGUGCAAUCCAUACAGAAAAGAAACUACCACAGGGAAGAGAGAAAACGAUGACGUUUUGACAAAUGGAACAAAGAUGGAGUGUGACUGACAAUUCAGGUCAGAAGGAAAAUUAAGGCACAGGAAGACUGAUGUUGGUCGGCCUCCUUGCCAAGAAGCAGAAAUUCAGGGGGAGGCGUCCAGCCACAUGCGAACUGGCUCAACACUGGCCAUUUUGUUUGAGCAAUUUUGUUGGAUGUUUUCUACAAAAGAGCACUUUUUCUCGGACUUCAAACAUCCUUAUAUGCAGGAUCAACACCACACACUGCCAUCAUCCCCUGGAGUAGUAUCCUUGAGACCUGAGGAAGGGAGAACUGGAGGGAAGUUGUGGGACUCCACUGAGAAAUAUGGUCCUUUGUCUCCUUGGAGAUCUUUGAGGAUGGUUCAGAUAAAGUUGCUGCCAGUGGAAGCAGCUAGGCUCAGAAACCUCUAGUUGCCCUUUCUAGACUUGUAAUCCUCUGAAAAAUGGAAAUUAGGAAGCGUUCAUUUAUGACCUUGAAAAAAAUCGUUUACAAAAGUAUAUUAUAUCAGUAAAACGAGCUGGAAAGAGGGUUUAUGUGAAAGUUCAUGGGAGAAACACAGCUAUUAGCACGCAUGCCAUUCCCCACCUUGACCUCAGCAGGAAUGUGUAAAUUGUAACAUAUGGAAUGUAAGCCCUGUCGAGAUGUUUCAUAAAUCUGCCUGGCAAUGAGCAUCACAAUAGCCUGCAUGAGAACAGGCCCCAGAAACGGAGAGACAAAUAAAGAAACAUCAGAAAUAUAAAAACCAGGACCAAAAGGAGGCCCAGGUACAGGAGCAUCAAACAUCUGGCAACAUGUAGCAAAAACAGGAGACUUUUUUCUUCUAACUGAAUUUUGGCCUCUUGGUGCCAGUAUGUGAAAAAGGCCUUGUAGGCCAGGCGCCGUGGCUCACGCCUAUAAUCCUAGCACUUUGGGAGGCUGAGGCGUGCAGAUCAUAAGGUCAGGA